rnacentral:rRNA from 1 species
GCCCUUAGAGUUUGAUCCUGGCUCAGGAUGAACGCUAGCGGCAGGCUUAACACAUGCAAGUCGAGGGGUAACAGAGGUAGCUUGCUACUUGCUGACGACCGGCGCACGGGUGAGUAACGCGUAUACAAUUUGCCUUGUACAGGAGGAUAGCCUUUAGAAAUGAAGAUUAAUACUCCAUGGUUUAUUAGAGUCACCUGAUUUUAAUAAUAAAGAUUUAUCGGUACAAGAUGAGUAUGCGUUCUAUUAGCUAGAUGGUAAGGUAACGGCUUACCAUGGCAACGAUAGAUAGGGGCCCUGAGAGGGGGAUCCCCCACACUGGUACUGAGACACGGACCAGACUCCUACGGGAGGCAGCAGUGAGGAAUAUUGGGCAAUGGAAGCAACUCUGACCCAGCCAUGCCGCGUGAAGGAAGACGGCCCUAUGGGUUGUAAACUUCUUUUAUAGAGGAAGAAACCCUCCCACGUGUGGGAGGCUGACGGUACUCUACGAAUAAGCACCGGCUAACUCCGUGCCAGCAGCCGCGGUAAUAAGGGCG